rnacentral:rRNA from 1 species
AACGCUGGCGGCGUGCUUAACCCAUGCAAGUCGAACGGAAAGGCCCUGCUUUUGUGGGGUGCUCGAGUGGCGAACGGGUGAGUAACACGUGAGUAACCUGCCCUUGACUUUGGGAUAACUUCAGGAAACUGGGGCUAAUACCGGAUAGGAGCUCCUGCUGCAUGGUGGGGGUUGGAAAGUUUCGGCGGUUGGGGAUGGACUCGCGGCUUAUCAGCUUGUUGGUGGGGUAGUGGCUUACCAAGGCUUUGACGGGUAGCCGGCCUGAGAGGGUGACCGGCCACAAUGGGACUGAGAUACGGCCCAGACUCCUACGGGAGGCAGCAGUGGGGAAUAUUGCACAAUGGGCGGAAGCCUGAUGCAGCAACGCCGCGUGCGGGAUGACGGCCUUCGGGUUGUAAACCGCUUUCGCCUGUGACGAAGCGUGAGUGACGGUAAUGGGUAAAGAAGCACCGGCUAACUACGUG